CUACUAUAUAUUAAUUGAAAAAUUAUUUAAGAGAUUUUUUCUUAUUUGUCGAUCAUUGAUGAAAUCUUUAAAAAAGUUAUAAAUUGAAUGGUCGAUAAUUUUUAAUUUAUAUUUAUUUUAAUUAGAUUUAAAAAGACAAAAAAAAUCUAUAAACAAUCAAUAUCACUUACCAAAUAAUUUACAUAAUAUUACAAAUAAUUAUUUAUGGUAACUAAUUGUUAAAACUAUAGAAAAAGUAAUGAUGUUUGAUCGAUUUUUAUAUUUAUAAACUACAUAAUAUAAUAAAAAAAAGUUUAUUAAAAUUGAUAGAAUAAUUUUAUAUUCUUAUAUAAAGCCUUAUAUUUGUAUUUAUAAACUAUAUAAAAUAUUUCAAAAAUAAUUUAUGGAAUUGAUAUAGCAUAUGUGAUUGGAUAUGUAUAUGUAGAGAAUCUGUUACAAUUAUAUUGUUUUAACUUUUUAAGCUUAUUAAAGACAUAAAACUUUAGCUAUAAAUUAUUUAAAAUCAAAAUUUUCAACAUUAUAUACCUUCAAAACCUAAAUAGUUUUAUUAAAAACUGAAUCUUGAAUAUUGUAUAUAACUAAUUUUAGUAAAAUUAUCAAAACAAAAUAUCAAAAAAUAUUUAAAAUAGUCAUAUUAUCUUUUUCAAAAAAAAUUUAUUCUUAGAAAAAUAUUUAAUAAGAAAAUACAUAAUGAUAAAAACAUAUUUUAAUUUGAAAGUUAUAAUAAAUAUAUUAUUAAAAAACAUUUAAUCCGUGAAAUCGUGGACAUCCACCUAGUAAAUAAUUAAAUACCAAGUUAAUGAAUAUAUGAAUAAAUCAAACAGUUUCGAAUGUAUUUGUCAAACCAAGCUAUUUGUCUGUUCUUCAUCCCAUCCCAUAUCGUAUUCUACUGGCAAUGUUCUUGCUUCAUAUAUUGAAUGGUGAAUAUAUUGUGAUAACAUAGUUUACAAAAAACAAAAUAUUUUGAUAACAUUAAAUAUGUAAACAGUAAUCUCAGAGAUUAUUUCCUAUAUAAAAUCGGAAUCUUUUUGUGUAUAAAUAAAUACCAAUGUAUUGAACAUGUAUAAUGUAUCUAGCAAGCUGUUAAUAAUUCUUUUUAUUUUAGCAUCAUUUACAAUAGUCUAAAACAAUAAUUUAUACAUAGAUACAGAAAAUUUUAAUUCUUAAAUUUAAAAUAUAUCUUGUUUUAAAAAGGUAAAAAAAAUAUGUCCAAAUUAAAGAUAAUUUUACUAUAUAUACAUAUUAGAUUUUAACUAUUAAUAUAGUUUAUACAUAGAUAGUAGUAUAUGAUAAGUAGAUGAUGAUAAAUAAAAUUUGAAUUGAAUUCAUGUAAGAAAAUAUAAUUUUAGAUUAAGAAUUUUUCAUUAUUAAAUGUUAAAGAAGUGUUAUAUAUUUUAAACAUUUGUAAGAUUGAUUGUAAACUUCGUAUUUAAUGGCUAAAUAGUUUGUAUUUUAUAUACCAAAGAUGAAGUUUUAUAUGUUUGCUUAUGAAUAUGCAAAAUAAAAUAUCUUAUCAUUUUUUAUUUCGGGUCAUCACAUUAGAAAAAAAAACAGAAUCAACUCUCUUUCACCAAAAAGUAAGAAUCAACUCUAAGAUUAGUUAUCCAAUUUGAUGCAAAACCUAUAAUGCUUUAUUUUGGCACAAAUUUUACAUUAGUGUAUCCCCAGAAACACAACGUUCUGAGUUGACCUCUAUGACAAGUGAGGUCGCAUAGAGGAAUAACGAAUCACGGCUUUACUCCGCGAAAUCGAACCAACGAACUUCCUAGGCAAGUUGCAAUAUUCGUGGAGUUGGAUUUUGAGUCGGCCACAGGUAAGGAGGUCAGGAUCAUUUAUAUGCUUUUGGAAGCUCGAUGUCGGCUAGACUGGGACAUAGAAUCAGCUCAAUUUUGUUUCAACAGUACCUAUAUAUGUGCUAACGAGGAUGGAUGCAGUUUCGAAAUUAAGAAUCGAGCAACAAGAAAAGGGAGAAGAUAUCGGAGGAGGCUAACGAUUAUAAAUAGUGUAUAAUAAGGGGAGGAGAACGGAAAAGAGGGGGACACAGACAUAUUGAUUCCCGCAUACACACAUAAUCACCUUUACCUCGAGCUCUAGUUCCCUCAACGCUUCGAACUUGUUUUAGAUCUUGUUCUUCAUUAGACUAGACGACUAGUCUUAUUUUUAUUCAAAAACACUUGUAAACUCGUUAAUAUCAUUAUACAAAUCUAUUUUAUUCUAAGGAUAAUAUUACCCAAAAGAUCUUGUUCUCUAAUUUACAAAUAAUAUUCUAAAAUAUCUAGUGUGGGUUUUAAGACUCACAACUGUCAAAGCCGUUCAGAACCUAAACAAUGAGAAUAUGCAACCAUCCUUAUUAGUUAUUUCGGUUUAUUUCAGAAUAUGUAGAGACUGACUUAAUUUGGUCAAAAUUUUACAACCCGAUUUAGCUUAAUGUAGAGGGAGAUAUCAAUAAGCAAAGGCUGAGAGGGACACAUAAGUACGGAAGACCAUAAAUCAUGUGGCCGUCACAUACGAACACAUAUGGUUUAAUUGUAAGCAAAGUUACUAAACACGUUUUCAUUUGUCGUUUUUCCCCCAACAAUUAUCUAGUUUUGGAGUGAACUUGUAGAAAAGGGCAUCUUAAUCAUUACAUAUGGAUGUAGACUAAGAAAAGAAUAUCAACCUUCAAGAAAGGUUAUCUCUUCAGAUAAGAAUAUGAAAUAUAAUAUCCCUAUAUUUAUGUCUUAUAAAAUGUAAAUAUAUUAGUCAGCGUUAAGGGUUCAAAUAGUCUAAACCUAUGGAUUAGGACAUGAACUUCAAGAUUAUAAAUGUAUAAUGCUAAAUAUAGCAUACUUAUAUAAUUACUAGCAUCAGACUAUAACUUGAUCUUUUCACUAUCAAAUAAAAGGAAUUCCAAGAUUGUAGUACACUUAAAACUUUUUAAAUCAGAUUUAUGAUACAUUUGUUAGUUUUUUUAUGUAAGCAAGAAAUUCUGGACCUUUAAUAUGUACUGUAUGGACCAAAGACCAGCUUCUAAUAAUAAUCGGAUUCGGUGAACUUUAAGACCCCUCUAACUAGUUGAGCAAACCACAUUUGUAGAAUACCUUUGUAAGUUAGUAUUUCUAAGUCUGGAACCAACUUUUAUUAAAUCGUAAAUUUCAUAAUCCUUAUCUAGAUGCACCAUGCAUCCUCAAGUAAAACACGCAUAGUCCAAGUGGAGAGACGAGCAGUGGAAAAAGGAGUUUUGGAAAACAAGUUACCAAUAAGCUACGCAGAUGAAAAUGAUUACAAUAAUAUAUAUGUAUAUAUAUUCGUUUUCUAAUAAUAAAUAAAAGAUAACAAUAAAAGAUAUUUGUUAAAUUGAUUGCCAUAAAACUAGAUGAAAAUGACCAGAUUAAGGAUUGCAUGUGGAUAAGAUUUGAAGGAUGAAAAUCGCAGAUUGGAGUAGGUGGAAGACUCAUCCUUUUCACGACCACCAGAAAUAAGAGAAGCUGAAAUAAAAUGAUUUUUUCUUCUAAUAAAAAUAUAUUCUCUUUUUAUUUUCUUUGAAGGGUCGACGAGUUUGGUUGAUAAUGAGUGUCGCAUUUUGUUCCCACACUGUACCAUUUGCAUGCCAUCAUCAUCUUUUCUUCAAACUCUUUUCUUAAGUAGAAUAAAUUAAUUAUACACAAAAGGUUUGCUUGCAAGGACUGCAAUGAACAUAAUUGCAUGUGGGAUCAACUUUGGUUUAGUUCGCUGAGUAUGAACGAUACGCAUUCUAUAUUUAGUGUUUAAAAUGGCUUAACGCAUAAUUAUAUGGUAGGACUACAUUUGCGUCUCAUUGUGCUUUAUUACUUUAAUAAAGUUAAUUAUUAUAAGUUAAAUAGAAAAAGAAAAAAACUCUAAAAGCAUAGUAAAAACAAUCUACAAUUCGUUAGAUCCGAAAAUUAGUAUUUGGGAAAACGAAUCACAUCCAGGCUCUGCUCGUUGAUCAAAUCGGAAAUCAUAGUAAAGACAAGACUUAACUCGUCUUCAUGUAGGUACUACUGACUUUGUCACCUCGCUCCAGGAGGUGCAUAAAUUGGUUGGUCGGAACUUGGAGACUACGGCCCUCGCCUAUAAGGAAUGAGCACACAAGCGCAAAUGUUUUGGAACGCAUAAAUGCCAAUGCGUGUCGGGUACAACUUCCCCCUCGUAUCAAUACAUCCAAUGUCUUCAGUGUUAAGUGCAUGUCUUUGUUCCGUGGUGACAAUGAGGUUCCAGAUUCAGGGAAGAAUCUUCUCCUACCCGGGGAGACUUGAUGCAGUGCAUCUAACCUUUAAACCGCCGGCUAUAACUUUUUUUUUGUAUCCAUCGAACCUGUUUGAUUUUAUUUCUUUAUAAAUAUGUUUGAGAUUAUUAAAGUGGCGACUCAAUGAAAUCCUCCGCCACAAGUUUCUAAAUUAGUUUGAUCUACAUUCAAGAUGAGUCCAGUUUUUCAGUCGUGAACAAAAUGAAA